AUUGAACGCUGGCGGCAGGCUUAACACAUGCAAGUCGAGCGGGGGAGGUUGCUUCGGUAACUGACCUAGCGGCGGACGGGUGAGUAAUGCUUAGGAAUCUGCCUAUUAGUGGGGGACAACAUUCCGAAAGGGAUGCUAAUACCGCAUACGCCCUACGGGGGAAAGCAGGGGAUCUUCGGACCUUGCGCUAAUAGAUGAGCCUAAGUCGGAUUAGCUAGUUGGUGGGGUAAAGGCCUACCAAGGCGACGAUCUGUAGCGGGUCUGAGAGGAUGAUCCGCCACACUGGGACUGGGACACGGCCCAGACUCCUACGGGAGGCAGCCGUGGGGAAUAUUGGACAAUGGGGGGAACCCUGAUCCAGCCAUGCCGCGUGUGUGAAGAAGGCCUUAUGGUUGUAAAGCACUUUAAGCGAGGAGGAGGCUACUGAGACUAAUACUCUUGGAUAGUGGACGUUACUCGCAGAAUAAGCACCGGCUAACUCUGUGCCAGCAGCCGCCGUAAAAC
rnacentral:rRNA from 1 species